rnacentral:tRNA from 1 species
UAGAUAUUAGUAAAAUUAUUACAUAACUUUGUCAAAGUUAAAUUACUGGUUUAACUCCUGUAUAUCUUC